UCGUUUCAAUUCAAUAAACCUAUUUCACGUCCGCGUAUCUCAACACACUCUCAAGCUCGCUAAUUCUACGUACAAAUUCCGAUCCUUCAAUCGUAUACGCUUAUUCCGUUGUGUUAAACUCGCCGAAUUGCCAACAUUCUCCACAUUUCUCUGCGCCGCGCUUGCAAUUUUCGGAGUUGCUGCUAGGGUUUCAUAGCUCAUAGCUUUAACCAAUUGCGAAUCCUCGAUCUCCGGAAGCUGGCUAUGGACGAGUACGGGCCUUACGACAGUAGCGGAACUGAUGAUGAUUUCCCCCCACCACAUCAAAAUAGAAUGUCAAGAGGAGGUCGCAUUUCUGGUAAUGGAAGGCCUGCUGCUGUGGGUUCUAUGCCAUAUCCCAGGAUGUAUGAAGAUACUGAUAUGGAAACUAAAAUUCACCAGCUUGAGCAAGAAGCAUACAGUUCAGUUUUAAGAGCCUUUAAAGCUCAAGCUGAUGCCAUUUCUUGGGAGAAGGAAGGUUUAAUUACCGAGCUUAGGAAAGAAUUAAGAUUAUCAAAUGAAGAGCACAGGGACCUCCUAAACAGGGUUAAUGCAGAUGAAACAAUUCGAAGGAUAAGGGAAUGGAGACAGUCGGGUGGUGCUCUUCAACCAGUCAUGCAUAAUGCUUCUCAAGCCGGCCGUGAACCAUUACCUAGUCCAUCCAUCUCAGCUUCUCGCAAGAAACAGAAGAAUGCUUCCUCGUUACCUUCUCAGUCCUUUGGUGGGCCAACUCCUUCUUUCCAUCCCCAGUCAAUGGCUGCAGCUAAUCAGCCAUCUUCAUCAGCAGCUAAGCGUGGACCCAUGAUUGGUGCGAAAGGAAAAAAGCAUAAAUCAAUGCCUCCUGGUGCAUCUUCAAUGAAAAUGCAGUAUCCUUCUGGUCCAGCUGGAAGGGGUCAAUUUAGUAACCGUAUGGCUGGUGGCCUUGCAACUGAACCUGUAGAAGGAGCAUCAUUUGAUUCAUUGAUUGGAAGGAAAGUCAGAACUAGGUGGCCUGAUGAUAAUAACUUCUAUGAAGCUGUUAUAACUAAUUUUAAUCCUAUUGAGGGACGGCAUUGUCUUGUUUAUGAUCUAGGUACUAAUCAUGAAACAAUAGAGUGGGUUGACCUUACUGAGAUUUCUCCUGAAGAUAUACAGUGGGAAGGUGAUGACCCUGGAAUUUUCCAUCAUGGGGGUUAUGGCGGACCAGGUCAUGGACCGAGUAGACAUCUUGGGCGGGAUAGUGCUCCAGGUGCUGGAAGAGGGCGGGGAAUGGCGAAAGGUCAAUCCAGAAAGGACUUCCAACCAUCACAGAAUGGCAUCGGAAAGAAGGGACCAGAUGACAUUCAGUUGCUUCACACCGACACUCUAAUUAAGGAGGUAGAGAGGGUUUUUAGUGCUAAUCAUCCAGACCCUGUAGAGAUAGAGAAGGCAAAGAAAGUGCUGAAGGAGCAUGAACAAUCUCUUACUGAGGCAAUUGCAAGGCUAGGUGAUUUAUCUGAUGGGGAGAGUGAUGAGGGUGGCCGCUUUUUACAUGCACAAGCUAUGGAUAGGGAAUGAUAAACAUCAUUGAAAUUAUUGGCGACAUGGAUGGAAAGAUAUAGAGUAGUGCUGGCGACUAAGGUCUGUUUCUGACUAUCAUGCAUCAACAUGGAUGAAGCCAUCUUCAGCUAAGAGGAGACCUUAGAGCAUCUAUAGUGGUACUGGUGCUACUUUUGCGGCUGGUGUACGACUGCUAUCAUUGCGGCGCCACUGCAAGUGGAGGGAUGCGACUGCCGGGAUACCUGCUCUGUUUGCGGCCAAACAGAUGGCAAAAAGUAGAUAAUAAAAUCUCAUAUCUAUAGAAAACCCUACGAAUAAUACCCUUCACGCUGAUUUUCAAUUCUAAGAAUGAAGAGAUUCGUGGAGAAUAAAGAUUAAUUCACAACAUUAUUACACCGUGUAAUGUUGUGAAUUUACACGUACCAAAGAUUAAAAAAAAGAAC